GGGGAUGCACCGGUUUCGACGGGUGUGUUUGCGGACUUGAAUUGCAGGUGAGGCCGCCUGUCCUCUGAACAGACAAAAUGUAUAACUGCCAAAAAAGAAGAAGACUUCGUCCUUGCGUUUGAUCGCAAGGAAGCGCAGUAUGCUCUUGCCGCGUAAGCGGUCUUGAGCCGGAACCCGGGUUGCGCCGUCCUGAGCGGCCCAGUGUUCUGUCGCCAACCAGGGCUUGCUGGCUGCGUUUUCCGGUUCGCAGCCGGGACAUUCACCGGAAUACGGGACCGACUCUUGCGGCGCUGCUACCGGCCCCCGACAACCACCUCGCGCCGAUAAACCUGUAGAGAUUCCUGCCCCGCACAUUCGGACGGGAGUUCAACUCUCCCCAUCUCCACUA
rnacentral:tmRNA from 1 species